AUACCUUGAACAAGGGAGUCAGAGGUUGCUAUGAGCCAAGAUCAUGCCACUCCACUCCAGCCUGGUGACAGAGCGAGACUCUGCUUAAAAGAAAGAAAGAAAAUUUGUGCUGGAGAGAAGCCCUACACAUGUGGCAAAGCGUUUAAUUGGUCGUCAACCCUUAAUACAUAUAAUUCAUGCUGUAAAGAAACUUCACAUGUGAACAAUGUGGCAAAGCCUUUAAAUGGUCCUCAGCCCUUAAUGAACAUAAGAGAAUUCAUGCUGGAGCGAAACCCUUCACAUAUGAAGAAUGUUGCAGAGUCCUUACCACAUCCUCAAACUUUGUUAAACAUAAGAGAAUUCAUACCAGAGAGAAAGCCUACACAUGAAGAAAAUCCUUUAAUAGGCUCUCAAGAGACCCUUACUGUACACAAGAGAAUUCAUUCUGUGGAAAAGUUCUACAAAUGUGAAGAAUGUGGCAAAGCCUUAAGACAGUUUGCAUGCCUUUAUGAAAAAUUCAUUCCACAAACUUGCACUGAGAAGACAGGAGAAAAGUGGACAUAAGAAUUUACAAUUAAGAAAAGGUUGUAAAAGUGUAGAUGAGUGUAAGGUGCAGAAAGGAGGUUAUAAUGGACUUUACCAAGCUUGUCAACUACCCCCAGCAAGAUAAUUCAAUGCAAUACAUGUGUCAAAGUUUUUAAUAAAUUUUCAAACUCAUACAAACAUAAGACAAGACAUAGUGGAGAGAAACCAUUUAGAUGUAAAAAAUGUGGCAGAUCAUUUCCCAGGUUUCUACAACUAACUCAACAUAAGGGAAUACAUGCUGGAGAGAAACCCCUCACAUGUGAAGAAUGUGGUAAAAUCUUUACCUCAUCCUCAAGCUUUGACAAACAUUAAGAGAAUUCAUACCAGAGAGAAACCCUACACAUGUAAAGAAUGUGGCAAAGCCUUUAAUAGUUCUACAAGCCUUACUAAACAUAAGGAAAUUCAUACUGGAGAGAAACCCUACCAAUGUGAAGAAUGUGGCAAGGCCUUUAGUCGGUCCUCGGCACUGAAUGAACAUAAGAAAAUUCAUACUGGAGAGAAACCAUACACAUGUGAAGAAUGUGGCAAAGCCUUUAGACAGUCCAGAAGCCUGAAUGAACAUAAGAAUAUUCAUACCGGGCGCACUCAUUGUGAACAAAAACUUUACAAAUGUGAAGAAUGUGGCAAAAUCUUUACUCAGUCCUCAUCCCUUCAUAAACAUAAGAGAAUUCAUAGUGGUGAGAAACCCUACACAUGUAAAGAAUGUGGCAAAAUCUUUUAUAGGUCUUCACACCUUAGUGAACAUAAGAGAAUUCAUUCUGGGCAAAAACCCUACAAAUGUGAAGAAUGCGGCAAAAUCGUUAGUCCUCAGCAUGAAUAA